UGAAUACGAAAUGCUACGGCAUUGAAGUGAUCUAUGCCAGGCUUCCAAGAAAAUCUCGUCAUAUCUUAAGCAGUAGAUGCCUGUACCUUAAACCGACACAGGUAGGUAGGUAGAGUAUACCAAGGGGCGCGAGAUAACUCUCUCUAAGGAACUCGGCAAAAUAACCUCGUAACUUCGGAAGAAGAGGUACCCUUGAAAAAGGGUUGCAAUAACCAGACCCUGGCGACUGUUUACCAAAAACACAGGUCUCCGCUAAUUCGUAAGAUCAAGUAUGGAGGCUGACGCCUGCCCAGUGCCGGAAGGUUAAAGAAGUUGGUCAAUCUUUGGAUGAAGCUGGCGACUGAAGCCCCGGUGAACGGCGGCCGUAACUAUAACGGUCCUAAGGUAGCGAAGUUCCUUGUCGGGUAAGUUCCGACCCGCACGAAAGGCGUAACGGUCAGGGUGCUGUCUCGGAGAGAGACUCGGCGAAAUAGACAUGUCUGUGAAGAUGCGGCCUACCUGCACCUGGACAGAAAGACCCUAUGAAGCUUUACUGUAUCUUGGAAUUGGGUUUGGGCCUUGCUUGCGCAGGAUAGGUGGGAGGCUGUGAAGAUAUUCUUGCGGGAAUGUUGGAGCCAACGGUGAGAUACCACUCUAGUAAGGCUAAAAUUCUAACUCUGAACCGUUAUCCGGUCAGAGAACAGUUUCAGGUGGCAGUUUGACUGGGGCGGUCGCCUCCUAAAAGGUAACGGAGGCGCGCAAAGGUUCCCUCAGGCUGGUUGGACAUCAGUCGUAGAGUGUAAAGGCAUAAGGGAGCUUGACUGCGAGACCCACAAGUCGAGCAGAGACGAAAGUCGGCCUUAGUGAUCCGACGGUUCCACGUGGAAGGGCCGUCGCUCAACGGAUAAAAGUUACUCUAAGGAUAACAGGCUGAUCUCCCCCAAGAGUUCACAUCGACGGGGAGGUUUGGCACCUCGAUGUCGGCUCAUCGCAUCCUGGGGCGGUAGUACGUCCCAAGGGUUGGGCUGUUCGCCCAUGAAAGCGGUACGCGAGCUGGGUUCGGAACGUCGUGAGACAGUUCGGUCCAUAUCCGGUGCAGGCGUUAGAGCAUUGAGAGGAGUCCCCCUUAGUACGAGAGGACCGGGGGGAAUACACCGCUGGUGUACCAGUUAUCGUGCCAACGGUAAACGCUGGGUAGCCAUGUGUAGCGCGGAUAACUGCUGAAAGCAUCUAAGUAGGAAGCCCACCUUAAGAUGAGUGCUCUCACCGCUAUAAGCGGGUAAGGUCACGGUAAGAACAACCGUUAUAUAGGCAUUAAGUAUACGUGCAGUAAUGCAUUUAGCUGAGAUGUACUAACAGACCGAGGGCUUG
rnacentral:rRNA from 1 species